rnacentral:rRNA from 1 species
CCUACGGGUGGCAGCAGUGAGGAAUAUUGGUCAAUGGACGAGAGUCUGAACCAGCCAAGUAGCGUGAAGGAUGACUGCCCUAUGGGUUGUAAACUUCUUUUAUAUGGGAAUAAAACGUUCCACGUGUGGGAUUUUGUAUGUACCAUAUGAAUAAGGAUCGGCUAACUCCGUGCCAGCAGCCGCGGUAAUACGGAGGAUCCGAGCGUUAUCCGGAUUUAUUGGGUUUAAAGGGAGCGUAGGUGGAUUUGUAAGUCAGUUGUGAAAGUUUGCGGCUCAACCGUAAAAUUGCAGUUGAAACUGGCAGUCUUGAGUACAGUAGAGGUGGGCGGAAUUCGUGGUGUAGCGGUGAAAUGCUUAGAUAUCACGAAGAACUUCGAUUGCGAAGGCAGUUCACUGGACUGCAACUGACACUGAGGCUCGAAAGUGUGGGUAUCAAACAGGAUUAGAUACCCUAGUAGUC